CUUUAUUGAAAAAAACACUUCUUUAAAGUUACGAGCCUUGAAAGAUUCCUAUUUUAACACUAAAUUUAUGACAACUUUGUGCAUAAAUAGAUAAGAUUAGGAGUAUGAAAAUUCUAAAUAAUUUAACUUUAGACACAGUUCAUUUAUUCAUUAGUUAAAAUAACUUUACAUUG